rnacentral:rRNA from 1 species
ACGCUCGACACCUACGGGAGGCAGCAGUGAGGGAUAUUGGUCAAUGGGGGAAACCCUGAACCAGCAACGCCGCGUGAGGGAUGACGGUCUUCGGAUUGUAAACCUCUGUCCUCUGUGAAGAUAAUGACGGUAGCAGAGGAGGAAGCUCCGGCUAACUACGUCCCAGCAGCCGCGGUAAUCUGAGCGGGCUGGCAAGGC